rnacentral:rRNA from 1 species
UACGAGGGGGGCAAAUGUUGUUCGGAAUCACUGGGCGUAAAGGGAGCGUAGGCGGGCUUCUAAGUUGGAUGUUUAAACCCGGGGCCCAACCCCGGAUCGGCAUCCAAAACUGGAAGUCUUGAAUAGUGGAGAGGACGACGGAAUUGGGGGUGUAGCGGUGGAAUGCGUAGAGAUCCCCAAGAACACCAGUUGCGAAGGCGGUCGUCUGGACACAUAUUGACGCUGAGGCUCGAAAGCAUGGGGAGCAAACAGG